rnacentral:rRNA from 1 species
UACGUAGGGGGCGAGCGUUAUCCGGAUUCACUGGGUGUAAAGGGAGCGUAGACGGCCAUGCAAGCCAGGGGUGAAAGCCCGGGGCCCAACCCCGGGACUGCCCUUGGAACUGCAUGGCUGGAGUGCGGGAGGGGCAGGCGGAAUUCCUGGUGUAGCGGUGAAAUGCGUAGAUAUUAGGAGGAACACCAGUGGCGAAGGCGGCCUGCUGGACGGUGACUGACGCUGAGGCACGAAAGCGUGGGUAUCGAACAGG